rnacentral:rRNA from 1 species
AGAGUUUGAUCAUGGCUCAGGAUGAACGCUGGCGGUAUGCCUAACACAUGCAAGUCGAACGAUGUCUUCGGACAUAGUGGCGGACGGGUGAGUAACGCGUGAGAAUCUGCCUCUAGGAUGGGGAUAACGGUUGGAAACGACCGCUAACACCCAAUAUGCCGUAAGGUGAAAAAUUUAUUGCCUGGAGAGGAGCUCGCGUCUGAUUAGCUAGUUGGUGGGGUAAGAGCUCACCAAGGCUUCGAUCAGUAGCUGGUCUGAGAGGAUGAGCAGCCACACUGGGACUGAGACACGGCCCAGACUCCUACGGGAGGCAGCAGUGGGGAAUUUUCCGCAAUGGGCGAAAGCCUGACGGAGCAAUACCGCGUGAGGGAGGAAUGCCUUUGGGUUGUAAACCUCUUUUCUCAGGGAAGAAGAUCUGACGGUACCUGAGGAAUAAGUAUCGGCUAACUCCGUGCCAGCAGCCGCGGUAAUACGGAGGAUGCAAGCGUUAUCCGGAAUCAUUGGGCGUAAAGCGUCCGCAGGUGGUUUCCAAAGUCUGCUGUUAAAGACUGGAGCUCAACUCCGGAACGGCGGUGGAAACUUGGAAACUAGAGUUCGGUAGGGGUAGCAGGAAUUCCCAGUGUAGCGGUGAAAUGCGUAGAUAUUGGGAAGAACAUCGGUGGCGAAGGCGUGCUACUGGACCGUAACUGACACUCAGGGACGAAAGCUAGGGGAGCGAAAGGGAUUAGAUACCCCUGUAGUCCUAGCUGUAAACGAUGGAAACUAGGUGUGGCUUGUAUCGACCCGAGCCGUGCCGUANCUAACGCGUUAAGUUUCCCGCCUGGGGAGU